rnacentral:RNase_P_RNA from 1 species
UCAGCCGGCCGGACGGUCGCUGCCGGUCCUGCCUUCGGGCGGGGGUGCUGGUGGAGGAAAGUCCGGGCUCCAUGGACGAACGGUGGCGGCUAACGGCCGCCGGGGGUGACCCCAGGGACAGUGCAACAGAGAGCAGACCGCCGCGGGUGCGCCCGCGGUAAGGGUGAAACGGUGGGGUAAGAGCCCACCGCGCUGCCGGCAACGGUGGCGGCAUGGCAAACCCCACCGGGAGCAAGACCAUAUAGGGGUGGCCGAGGGCGCGGGAAACCGCGGUCCGGGGCGCUCGUACACGCCUGUCACCCGGGUUGGUCGCUCGAGGCGCGCAGCAAUGUGCGUCCCAGACGAAUGGCCGUCGCGGAGGGCAUUCCUCCAGACAGAACCCGGCUUACAGGCCGGCUGACAUC